UCCAAAAUCAGCUGCCUACGCAGAGGACAAACUUUACCAAACCUUAUCCUGACUCUUUCUACAUACCCAGAACUGUAUACUUUAAAGCCAAAGGGAAACUAUCUGAACUGCAUCACCAACUCCAAUGUUUUCAGGAACAAAGUAGGUAACAUAAAAAGCAGGCUUGUGGAAGAUAAAUCCAGUGGGUCUAUUAAUGAAGACCAAUCCAGUCUCAGUGUGGAGGAUGCAACAAGAAGAAAAGAGCUACUCAGAGAACUUGAGAAAACAGAAUUUACUGUCAAGAGAACUUGAGGUCUUCAAUGGGACUGAUCUCACCUUUUCCUGAGCUUGCUGUGGAGUGUAGGCCAUGCAGAACUGCCAAGUAAUAAGAUGAUUCGAAUGGAUGCCACAACUCGUGUAACUAUGUCAUGGGAUGAGUCCAUGCCUGAAAGACACUUCCUGUGAGUCUUGGCUAAUAACAGGUGGGCUACAUUUGGAAACAGUAUGAAUCUGUCAAAUAUGCUGUAGCAGGGCAGGUGCAGUGGCGCACGCCUAUAAUCCCAGCACUUU
rnacentral:lncRNA from 10 species